GGAUUUUCACACACCCAAAGUUGCUUCUUACACAGAGGUGCAUCUAUAUUCCCUCCACUAUUCUCUAUUAAGUUUUACAAUUCAAGAUUCCAUCAAUUCUAAUGACCACAGAUUCUUGCAAUGGCCUCAUAUCAUUCUUCAUCCGCAGCAAAGCCUCACAGCCAGCAGAAAAUAUUCCAUAACCUGCAUCUGUCCCCCAUUAGCAGUGCAGCAUCCCUGGUGGAAAUGAACAGGCUUUUUAUGAUUAAACCAUAAAGCUCCCCAUUGGUCUGUAGCGAGAAUACAGAUGAACAUACUUCUCCUGCAGUUAGGAUUUUUUUUUUAUUUUUUAUUUUUCCAGGGAAGACUUGAUUGCAACUAUUGUCAUUCUCCUCUGCUCACUCAGUCAGGGGCUUCCCAGUAUAAGCACAGCAUGCUGCUGUUUGUCACUGGAACACUUAGUGCUGCUGGACUAAGCAAACGGUUUCCAGGAGUACAGGAGCAGUUCUGACUUUAAAUUUACAGUUAAACAAUGAGGAAGUGGCCUUUCUUAAUCAUUGGCAUGACUGUUAAAAAUUUAACAAUGCUGGAAUCACUGGAAGUGGGUACUGUAGUACAAGACAGAGCACUUGGGUUUUAGUGACCAUGACAUAUGUGCAACUUGUCAAAUGCUGAUAGACAAUCUGGUCACAAUUACAUUUCCUUCAAAACGUACUUGCAAUUUGCAAUUUAAGGAAUCCCGAGAAGCUUGCAGUCAGAAAAAGGUUGGUAAUAAGUCAGACAUUGUUCAAAACCAACAAAUAUGAAUUAGAUUUAAUGUAAAAAUACACUAAACCCAUCUCAUGGUGGUGUGUUUUAAGAAAGGACUUCUAUGUGGCAUUUGUUCAUUCCUCCUGUGUUCACACAUACGUUUUCCCCAUCAUCUAAAGACAUUCUGCUAAAUCACUGUUGCUUCAAUGUGGCAGCCCAGAGUGCACCCCACCAAUCACCCAAUGUCAACUGGAACUUGCCCACUGAGGCCCUCUAAAGGC
ensembl:lncRNA